rnacentral:rRNA from 1 species
GGCGUAAAGAGUGGUUAGAGAACAACCCAAACUAAAGCCGAACGCCUUCAAGGCUGUUAUACGCAUCCGAAGGUACGAAGAAACCAUCACGAAAGUGGCUUUACCCCCCACCCGAACCCACGAAAGCUACGUAACAAACUGGGAUUAGAUACCCCACUAUGCCUAGCCCUAAACAUAGAUAGUAACAUACUCUACUAUCCGCCCGGGAACUACGAGCAUUAGCUUAAAACCCAAAGGACUUGGCGGUGCUUUAGACCCACCUAGAGGAGCCUGUCCUAGAACCGAUAACCCCCGUUCAACCUCACCCCCCUUUGUUUUUCCCGCCUAUAUACCACCGUCGUCAGCUUACCCUGUGAAGGCCCUAUAGUAAGCAAAAUUGGUAAAACCCAAAACGUCAGGUCGAGGUGUAGCGCAUGGGAGGGGAAGAGAUGGGCUACAUUCUCUACUACAGAGAACCACGAAUGUAUUAGUACUGAAACAUACAACUGAAGGAGGAUUUAGCAGUAAGUGGAAAAUAGAGCGUUCCACUGAAA